AUUGAACGCUGGCGGCAUGCCUUACACAUGCAAGUCGAACGGCAGCACGGGAGCAAUCCUGGUGGCGAGUGGCGAACGGGUGAGUAAUAUAUCGGAACGUGCCCAGUCGUGGGGAUAACGUAGCGAAAGCUACGCUAAUACCGCAUACGAUCUAUGGAUGAAAGCGGGGGAUCGCAAGACCUCGCGCGAUUGGAGCGGCCGAUAUCAGAUUAGGUAGUUGGUGAGGUAAAGGCUCACCAAGCCGACGAUCUGUAGCUGGUCUGAGAGGACGACCAGCCACACUGGGACUGAGACACGGCCCAGACUCCUACGGAGGCAGCAGUGGGAAUUUUGGGACAAUGGGCGCAAAGCCUGAUCCAGCAAUGCCGCGUGCAGGAUGAAAGG
rnacentral:rRNA from 1 species